rnacentral:rRNA from 1 species
UACGGAGGUGGCAAGCGUUAUCCGGAUUCACUGGGUUUAAAGGGUGCGUAGGUGGGCCUGUAAGUCAGUGGUGAAAUCUUCGAGCUUAACUCGGAAACUGCCAUUGAUACUAUAGAUCUUGAAUUUUCUGGAGGUAAGCGGAAUAUGUCAUGUAGCGGUGAAAUGCUUAGAUAUGACAUAGAACACCAAUUGCGAAGGCAGCUUACUACGGGAACGAUUGACACUGAGGCACGAAAGCGUGGGGAUCAAACAGG